CACAGUAACGCCGAAUAAAAUCAGAAUCAGAAUGAUGCGUUUAAAUUCGAAGACGGGAAUUGGACAGUAUGACAUGCGACGGCUGGGUUCGUAACGUUUACUUCCUCCGUCGCGUUAGUUAGGGCUUUCAGAGCUUCAGUUUCUUUCAAUUCUUCCCAAACUCACCUUGGUUCACAUUCCUCAUUCCAAUUAACGCGAUUUCGACACAGGUAUUUGACCCCGAUCAACACAAAAUCCCAGUUUCGCUUCGGCAACUCGCGUGAUCAACGAACGAUAACAUCGUUCCUUCUCGUGAAGAAGUUGGCGAUGGCGAGAAAGACUAGUUGCUGUGCGAUUUGCGAGAAUUCGAAUCUAGCUUCGAUUUGCUCUAAUUGUGUCAAUUACAGGUUGAAUGAUUAUAGUGCGUCGUUGAAUUCACUUAAAGACCGUUGGGAUUCGUUGUACUCGAAAUUGAGCGAAGUUCUUGUCCGCAAGGGAAAAGCGGAUGAUCAGACAAAUUGGAGAGAGCUUCAACAUGAGAAGCUUGCACGGUUGAGGGAGAAGCUCAGUCACAGUAAAGAACAAGUUGCUCAAGGAAGAGCAAAGAUAGAGACUAUGUCCACUGGUCUCAAACAUAAAUAUGGAGUGCUUGAGUCUGCAUUUUCUACGUUGGAAAAGAAUCGGGUGGAACAACUGGAGAAGUUCUACCCUAAUCUUAUAUGCACCCAGAGCUUAGGGCAUGUGGCAAUUACCUCCGAACGUCUUCAUAAACAGACUGUGGUCAUUAAACAGAUAUGCAAGUUGUUUCCUCAACGACGGGUAGUGAUAGAGGGAGAGAGAAGGGAUGGCUCUAGUGGUCAAUAUGAUCAAAUUUGCACUGCACGCCUACCAAGAGCACUUGAUCCACACUCUGUUCCAUCAGAAGAGCUUUCAGCUUCUUUGGGAUACAUUGUGCAACUUUUAGAUCUUGUUGUUCACAAUUUGGCUGCCCCAGCACUUCACAACUCAGGUUUUGCGGGUUCUUGCUCUCGAAUAUGGCAACGAGAGUCUUAUUGGGAUGCACGUCCAUCUUCGAGGAGUAAUGAAUAUCCCCUUUUUAUACCUCGCCAAACAUAUUGCUCAGCUAGUGGAGAAACCUCAUGGACUGAUAGAAGCUCAUGCAAUUUUGGUGUUGCCUCGAUAGAAUCUGAGAGGAGGCCUUACCUGGAUUCAUUUGGGAGUAGUAGCUUUAAUUAUUCUUUAGCAGCUUCACAUACUGUUCAGACACACAAAGAUUUGCAGAAAGGGAUUUCACUUCUGAAGAAAAGUGUAGCAUGCAUCACAGCUUACUGUUACAACUCUUUAAGUCUGGAUGUUCCUUCUGAGGCAUCUACUUUUGAAGCACUUGCCAAAUUAUUGGCUACACUUUCAUCAACAAAGGAAGUUCGAUCUGUUUUUUCCUUAAAAAUGGCUCGCUCUAGGACAUGUAAGCAGGUUCAGCAGUUGAACAAAUCUGUGUGGAAUAUGAAUUCUGCUAUUUCGUCAACUACUUUGCUGGACAGUACACAUUCUGUGCCCCCGAUGAGAAUUGAAAAUUAUAUGCCAAGUUCUGGUGCCAGUUUUCUUUAUGCCACCGAUUUAUCUGAUGAUAAAAGUGAAAUUGAAGGAUGGGAUAUAAUAGAGCAUCCCAAAUUUCCUCCGCCACCAUCACAAAGUGAAGAUGUUGAGCACUGGACUCGAGCAAUGUUCAUAGAUGUUAAAAGAAAGUGAUCUCUGCAGCAUAUUUUUGCUUAAUGUUCAAGAUUUGGUGGCUUGGUAUAUACGAAAAGAUUGAUCUUGUCUGAGUUUUAGCUGCCCAUGCGCCUCGGCCAUUAGUUUAAAAUUUUGAACUCAGGACUGAAGCCAGCUUAGUGUUUUACAAGUAUGUAUUAUCAAUCUCAAGCUAUGAUGCACGGAGACUGAUACGGACACGGGACACGUUGACACGCGAAUUUUAAAAUCUUACAUGACACGGGGACACGCAUACAUAUAAAAUAUAAAGUAUUACACGCAUACAUAUAAAAUAUAAAGUAUUUUUAGAUAAAUCGUAAUGAUAUUUUGAUAUUUUAUUGAUAUUAAAAUAUAAUUAAAAUUUUUAAUUAUUUUUAAUGUCUUAUUUUAAUUAUAUCAAAUAUUUAAAAUAUUUUUUUAUUUUAAUAAAUAAUAAUAUAUAUUAUAUCUAAAUUUAUUUUAAAAAUAUAUGUUAAGAAUAAGACUGGACACGCUGACACUUGAUGGUAUUUAAAUGUGUACACGGUUGGACACAACAGACACGCGUGUGGGACGAGUGUCGGACACAGAAUGUCGUGUCUGAAAUGUGUCCGACACGCAGACAAGAUGAAGAGCGCUAAAGACUUAGCUGACAAAAUAUUCUGGAGGAUCAAUUUGUAAUGUAUUUGUAACAUUUUAGUUCCUUGCCUUCCUCCCCCGUAUUAUAUAGAAGUGAGAAAUGUGCUAUAGGCUGGAUUUAUUUACUAGUUUUAAAUGCUUCAAAGUAUAAAAAUAUUAAAUGUAUUAAAGCAACAAAAUUAAAAUUGUUACAAAGUUGUUCGUUUGAUUUUAAUAAAUGCCCUUUUUACUUCUUACCUAACCAAACAAUUUUGUCAUGGUUACUCUCACAAUACAACGCUUAACAACCUGCCCAGCACUUGUUUAAUAAACUGCGAAAGACCCCCAAAUGGGUGAGUAGAGCACUGAAGAGAAUCUAACCAGCUAACUCUAAAAUCACAUUAGAGUGCUGUGUCCCCCAAGCUGUAUUAAGACUCUGCGAAGCACCGCAAAGAAUAAAGAUUGUUGAUGACAACCGGACAAAGACACGCUAAAAGAAUGCAAAU